UCAAAAAAUAAUUGAAUUGAGGCUUUUUAUAUACAUUUAGUAUUUUUUAUUAAAAUUCAUAAUGAGCAUAUGUGUACAUUGAUUUAAAACAGUAUUCAAGACUGUAGAUUUACUGUGAGGUUUUGAAUGUUGGACAGACCAUCAGACCUGCAUCUGCCUCGGACAUGUUGAUGUUUAGCUGAUGACAAUUUUAAAUAAAAAAUGUUUUAGGUAACUUACUCUCCAUUCUACCUUGCAGGUCACACCAUGGUCUCAAGAGUGAAAAUGAGUGCUCUAUGGAUUGAACAGGAAAGGUGAAUCAAAACUCCAACCAUCUGUAUGAGGGUCUGGAUAAAGGAUGCCCACUGGAGCUGGAAAUGAUGGAUCAGGUGGAUCCACACUUUAACCAUCUGUAUGAUGAUCUGCACCCACUGGAGCUGUAAAUGGUUGAGCAGGUUUCUGAAUUGAUGUCAGAUGCAAAGCAGAAGCUUAUUUUCUUCCAGUUUGGCUGCAUUGUGGAAAAUGCUGGAAACUAAAAUGCAGAACAUGAUGCACGAUGGGAUGCACAAAGUGAUAUUUGGACGCAGCCUCAGUCUGUCAGAUCAAAGAGACAUACAGAAUGCACAGAGCAGUGGGACUCCAUGAACAGAGUUGAGAACCACUGGUGUAACUCAUUAUGCUUACCUGACUC